rnacentral:rRNA from 1 species
AUUGAACGCUGGCGGCAGGCCUAACACAUGCAAGUCGAACGAGCGGCGGACGGGUGAGUAAUGUCUGGGGAACUGCCCGAUGGAGGGGGAUAACUACUGGAAACGGUAGCUAAUACCGCAUACCAUCGGAUGUGCCCAUAUGGGAUUAGCUUGUUGGUGGGGUAACGGCUCACCUAGGCGACGAUCCCUAGCUGGUCUGAGCGGAUGACCAGCCACACUGGGACUGAGACACGGCCCAGACUCCUACGGGAGGCAGCAGUGGGGAAUAUUGCACAAUGGGCGCAAGCCUGAUGCAGCCAUGCCGCGUGUAUGAAGAAGGCCUUAGGGUUGUAAAGUACUUUCAGCGGGGAGGCGUUACCCGCAGAAGAAGCACCGGCUAACUCCGUGCCAGCAGCCGCGGUAAUAC